rnacentral:rRNA from 1 species
UACGGGGGGGGUAAGCGUUGUUCGGAAUUACUGGGCGUAAAGGGCUCGUAGGCGGCCAACUAAGUCAGACAUGAAAUCCCUCAGCUUAACUGGGGAACUGCGUCUGAUACUGGAUGGCUUGGAUUCGGGAGAGGAAUGCGGAAUUCCAGGUGUAGCGGUGAAAUGCGUAGAUAUCUGGAGGAACACCGGUGGCGAAGGCGGCAUUCUGGACCGACAUUGACGCUGAGGAGCGAAAGCCAGGGGAGCAAACGGG